GCUGCCGGGCUGCGCAGCGGGCCGCUGGCGGGCGGGUCGUCCGCCGUUGUAAAUCGCUGCGGAGCGGCGUUGGCGUGGUCAGCAGAGCGGUUUGGUCAGGCCGUGGUCUGGAGGGGCAGCUCCUCCCUUAAAAUGAAGGUGAUGAAACCGUAGGCAACGCACAGGCACGCGGAAAUAUCUGAAGCCGAGAGAGAGUCGGAGCAGACCUUUAUCUCUUCGUUUCCUUAUCUUUGUCGUUACAGAGCAAGUUGGAGUAAGUUUACGCUCGUUACAUAACGUGUCCAGAUCCCUCUGACCUACGGGACCGGCCGCCUAUUCGAUCUCGUAGGGGGGCGUGUGCGUGGGUGCGUGCACUCACCCACACCAAAACGUUACCUGUGUGAGAGGAGACUGCGGGAAUGACAGGGGAGGGAACGCAGUUUCUCACUUCGGCACACGAAGCUUCUCUAUAGAUCAACCGUCAAAUGCGAUGAUCUUUCAAGAAGGUUUUUAAAAGUCUCAACAAAAGAGUGUGAGAAAUUAAUUUUGCCCUUUGACUCAAUAGCACAAGUCAAAGAUCAGGGCUUUAGACGAGGCUGCGGGGCUGAAAGGGAAAUACACGCAGCCCAUGCGGUUGUACAAAGCAGGAAUAAAAAGGCAGGCUGAGCGAGAGAGAGAAGAGAAAAAAAAAAUCAUAGAGAAACGGCUUGAAACUGAGAGACUCUAAAUCAUUCAGCCAUGGCAAAUUCAAACACACAAAGGAGGGGAUGCUAAAUUAACAGUGCUUUUUACAUAGAGCCCAAAUAAAACUGUAAUCAGCGACGCGUUACUUUUCAUUAAGCGAGUUUGACAGCAGCAUAUUCAGCCUCGACAAGGGAACAGGAGCGAAGAAAUAUACGGCUCUCCCAGCCCGAGUCAUAAGAUAAUUCCUUAAGCUCCAUUAACAACUCUUAGCCGCAGGAAAUGGGCUCCCUGAAAACAUCUCCAAAUCUAAAAGCUUUAUCGACCUCUCAAACCUCUGCUGAUGGUUCUAUUUUUUUUUAUUUUUUUAUUUUUUUAAAACUUAGAGGCGAGACGUCCAGCAAGGUAAUAGACUUUGACACAACACCUUCUUAACUAGAGUGAGAGAGGCAGGAAAAACGAGACCUUAAAUGAUAUUUAAAAGGCAGCCAAUUAAGAUUUAAAAUGAUUGUCUCCUGAGAUUAUGCAUGCGAUUUAUGUCAUCUACUUUUUUUUUUUCCCCAGGCGUGCAUGCAAAAUUGCAAUGGGGCAUGCUGCCCUUUCCUUAAACAAUAAUAACAACAACAACAAAGGAGUAGCAAUUAACAAUCGGAAACUAAGUCAUAUAAUUGUAAGAAGUGUUAAUUUAAGGAAAGGUUGGUGCUUAGUUAAUCUGAUGAUAGAGCACCUUGCACUGGCCAGCUUGUUUAUAGAUGCCUAAUUAAAAGGCAACUAAAGCAAUACAUCCUUUAUCUGUUAAUGUUUAGGAGCACUUUUCAUUCCAGAUUCAUUUUGCACUAUUAAAACAGUGUGAUCAGGUCAUCAUCACAGAACCCAGCGUAACAGAUCCUUCCCAUCAGCCACACAAAGAGAAGCAUUCGCGAAGACUUUGCCUUGGAGGAAGCUGUUUUUCAUGGACGAGCUUAUGGCAAAAAACACAGAUCCUAGAAGUGUGACAUAUGGUAUCAAUUCCUUCUAUGUGUGAGGAUGUUUUAACUCAUAUUUAAUGUCAAAGAGGCUGUGAAGUGCUCAGGACUUGUGAAAAGGGUUCCAGUCAUGCUCCUUGUCAAGUUGCAUCACUGCAGAAAAUAAUUCCAGAGGAAGAAGUGAAGAUCACAGAAGCUGCCUUCUCUUAAACCAUGGGUGUCUGACCUUGCCUGAUCUGCACUGAGUGAAGAAGAAGUUUCCAAAUUCCAAAAUGUAUAAUGUGGUUAGUCUGUAUAAGUAACAGAAACUUGUUUAUUUUUUAAUAUUUUCUUAUUAAAACAUAAACAAAAUUGGCAACAAAAAAGACCAAUCCAGUGGGAUGUUUGGCCUUAGUUUUAUGAAACUAAUGCACAGAUAAAUUAAAACAUAGCAAAAAUUAGUUGAUUUUCACCUUGAAGAUGCGUGUCUAACUCAUUUAAAUGAACAGUCAAAUCCACCAAAAAUGCUAAAUCUGCAAGCCAAUUUUCAUCUUCAAGUUCUGGCACAAAUUUUCCUUUUGAUUCCAUCAAUGGCUUCAUUUCAUUUCACAAAACAUCAAAUCCCUUUAUCAUUUUACCCUGCCGCAGCCUCCUUACUUUAGGAAAGUAAAUGAUGUCCCCAUAAUCAGCACCCAUGCUUUUAAGGAACUCCUGGAACUGACAGAAGCACCGAUCAAAUACAUAUCACAAAACUUGACCAAGCAUGUGGCAGGAGUGAGAGGCAGAGCUAGCACUCUGGGAAAGCUGCAUGAUUAAUUACUGACAGUAUUUUCUAGAACCUCAUCUAGUUUUAGUAAUAUCAAUUUCUUCAUUACCACAAUUAUUUAUAUUGAUUAAAUGAGGGAAAACGAGACAAAACAAAGCAAAAACAAAAACCCACUAGCAUAAUCUCAGUUAUAUAUAUGUACUUAUCUCUGUAAAUAGAAGUAAAAGUGUAUCUGCGGGAUGUACUGAAGUGUCAGAAUUUUUUUUCUCAUUCUUUUAAUGUAAGUGUAUGAGCUUGUCCCCUCACAGAUACACAUCAUCAAAAACUAAGUGAAUAACAACUAGUUAAGCUGCACGUUUCAGCUGCGAUAAAAUUCAGUGCCUUUCAUUUAUUUUUAAUAAAUCUAAGUGUGACAUAGGAUAAAAACUAUCUGUAUACUUUAAUACAUAUGGACAGACACAUACAUUUACAAAACUUGCUUAAGUAGUCUUCUCAUCUUCUUUCGAAGUCCCAAAAGGAUUCAAAUGACAUAUGGCAAGAAUUCUCUUAAGGUAGGCGUCUAAGCAAAACUCAGCAGAAGGAAAUACACUGUUAUUGACUGUAAGAAGAAAGGUCCCCAGUGAGUCUGUUGUGAAUAGUCAGUUCAUGCUGAAACGGGUUCUUAUUUCUUCUAAUCUUUUUUUCCCCAUUUUGCACAAGAUGUGUGCUUUCCAUAUGAAAAUAAAUAUGAAGUAUGUGCACAUUUUUUUGCAUAUUGGUUUUGAAAACAGACUCAGAGUAAAAAUUGUUACUUCCACACUUAGCAUUGGGUAUUAAAAAAAAAUAAUAAUUACUUUUCAAUCCCAAAACUGUAACUGGGAUACAAAUUUAAUUCAGUCACCAAUAGCCAAUUUGCUACCUAAGGCAAAGACACUGGCUCCUUCAGCUGAAAGUUGGAGCUCUAAUAUUUUAAAGCUGGUGGCUCUGCUUCCUUUUUCUGUUUUCACUCAGGAUAUAAAACAAUAAAAGAGCAAAUGGGCUUCUAUGCUGCCAUUUCUGGUAAUCUUUCAUUCUUUACUGCUCAUAUUCUAAUAAUAAGCACGAUUCAGAUGUAGUCAUGUUUUUAAUGCCUC